GAAUUUUGGGCAAUGGGCGAAAGCCUGACCCAGCAACGCCGCGUGAAGGAUGAAAUCCCUCGGGAUGUAAACUUCGCAAGAACGGGAAGAAUAAGACGGUGCCAACACCACCGGCGAUGCCGGUACUGUUUGUACGCUCCGGCCAACUCCGUGCCAUCAGCCGCGGUAAUACGGGGGGAGCAAGCGUGGUUCGGAUUUACUGGGCGUAAAGGGCGCGUAGGCGGCCACCGCAAGUCGACUGUGAAAUCUCCGGGCUUAACCCGGAACGGUCAGCCGAUACUGCGGGGCUAGAGUGCAGAAGGGGCAACUGGAAUUCUCGGUGUAGCGGUGAAAUGCGUAGAUAUCGAGAGGAACACCUGCGGCGAAGGCGGGUUGCUGGGCUGACACUGACGCUGAGGCGCGAAAGCUAGGGGAGCGAACGGG
rnacentral:rRNA from 1 species